AUACGUAGGUGACAAGCGUUAUCCGGAUUUACUGGGCGUAAAGGGCGUGUAGGCGGUCUUGCAAGUCAGAAGUGAAAUUCCUGCGCUCAACUCGGGCGCUGCUUCUGAAACUGCAGGACUUGAGUGCUGGAGGGGAUAGCGGAAUUCCUAGUGGAGCGGUAAAAUGCGCAGAUAUUAGGAAGAACACCGGUGGCGAAGGCGGCUAUCUGGACAGUAACUGACGCUGAGGCGCGAAAGCGUGGGGAGCAAACAGGAUUAGAUACCCUGGUAGUCCACGCUGUAAACGAUGAAUACUAGGUGUGGGGGGACUGACCCCCUCCGUGCCGCAGUUAACACAAUAAGUAUUCCACCUGGGGAGUACGAUCGCAAGAUUGAAACUUAAAGGAAUUGACGGGG
rnacentral:rRNA from 1 species